AUCGCUUCUCGGCCUAUGGCUAAGAUCAAAGUGUAGUAUCUGUUCUUAUCAGCUUAAUAUCUGAUACGCCCCGCAUGCGGAGCCAGUAUAUUAAACUGAUUUUUGGAAAUUGACGGGAGUCAGGGGCUUGCUCCGUUCCUGUCGCGGGUUGGCCUUGUAUUGCAGUACCGCAAGGAUCGGCCCAAUAAUA
rfam:Oryctes borbonicus contig2204, whole genome shotgun sequence.